rnacentral:tRNA from 1 species
AAGCUUAUAAUGUUAAGAUUUGUAAACUGAUGCCUGCUAGUUUAGGUAAAUAGCUGUUAACUAUUUUUUGCGGGAUCGAGGCCUGCCGGUUUU